UACGGAAGGCAGCAGUGGGGAAUAUUGCACAAUGGGCGAAAGCCUGAUGCAGCUAUGCCGCGUGUAUGAAGAAGGCCUUAGGGUUGUAAAGUACUUUCAUCGGGGAGGAAAAAACAAAACUAAUAAUUUUAUUUCUUGACGUUACCCGAAAAAGAAGCACCGGCUAACUCCGUGCCAGCAGCCGCGGUAAUACGGAGGGUGCUAGCGUUAAUCAGAAUUACUGGGCGUAAAGAGCACGUAGGUGGUUUUUUUAAGUCAGAUGUGAAAUCCCUGGGCUUAACCUAGGAACUGCAUUUUGAAACUGAAAUACUAGAGUAUCGUAGAGGGAGGUAGAAUUCUAGGUGUAGCGGUGAAAUGCGUAGAUAUCUGGAGGAAUACCUGUGGCGAAAGCGGCCUCCUAAACGAAUACUGACACUGAGGUGCGAAAAGCGUGGGGAGCAAACAGGAUUAGAUACC
rnacentral:rRNA from 1 species